rnacentral:rRNA from 1 species
GACGAACGCUGGCGGCGUGCUUAACACAUGCACGUCGAACGGAAAGGCCCUGCUUUUGUGGGGUGCUCGAGUGGCGAACGGGUGAGUAACACGUGAGUAACCUGCCCUUGACUUUGGGAUAACUUCAGGAAACUGGGGCUAAUACCGGAUAGGAGCUCCUGCUGCAUGGUGGGGGUUGGAAAGUUUCGGCGGUUGGGGAUGGACUCGCGGCUUAUCAGCUUGUUGGUGGGGUAGUGGCUUACCAAGGCUUUGACGGGUAGCCGGCCUGAGAGGGUGACCGGCCACAUUGGGACUGAGAUACGGCCCAGACUCCUACGGGAGGCAGCAGUGGGGAAUAUUGCACAAUGGGCGGAAGCCUGAUGCAGCAACGCCGCGUGCGGGAUGACGGCCUUCGGGUUGUAAACCGCUUUCGCCUGUGACGAAGCGUGAGUGACGGUAAUGGGUAAAGAAGCACCGGCUAACUACGUGCCAGCAGCCGCGGUGAUACGUAGGGUGCGAGCGUUGUCCGGAUUUAUUGGGCGUAAAGGGCUCGUAGGUGGUUGAUCGCGUCGGAAGUGUAAUCUUGGGGCUUAACCCUGAGCGUGCUUUCGAUACGGGUUGACUUGAGGAAGGUAGGGGAGAAUGGAAUUCCUGGUGGAGCGGUGGAAUGCGCAGAUAUCAGGAGGAACACCAGUGGCGAAGGCGGUUCUCUGGGCCUUUCCUGACGCUGAGGAGCGAGAGCGUGGGGAGCGAACAGGCUUAGAUACCCUGGUAGUCCACGCUGUAAACGGUGGGUACUAGGUGUGGGGUCCAUUCCACGGGUUCCGUGCCGUAGCUAACGCUUUAAGUACCCCGCCUGGGGAGUACGGCCGCAAGGCUAAAACUCAAAGGAAUUGACGGGGCCCCGCACAAGCGGCGGAGCAUGCGGAUUAAUUCGAUGCAACGCGUAGAACCUUACCUGGGUUUGACAUGGAUCGGGAGCGCUCAGAGAUGGGUGUGCCUCUUUUGGGGUCGGUUCACAGGUGGUGCAUGGCUGUCGUCAGCUCGUGUCGUGAGAUGUUGGGUUAAGUCCCGCAACGAGCGCAACCCUUGUUCACUGUUGCCAGCACGUUAUGGUGGGGACUCAGUGGAGACCGCCGGGGUCAACUCGGAGGAAGGUGGGGAUGACGUCAAGUCAUCAUGCCCCUUAUGUCCAGGGCUUCACGCAUGCUACAAUGGCUGGUACAGAGAGUGGCGAGCCUGUGAGGGUGAGCGAAUCUCGGAAAGCCGGUCUCAGUUCGGAUUGGGGUCUGCAACUCGACCUCAUGAAGUCGGAGUCGUUAGUAAUCGCAGAUCAGCAACGCUGCGGUGAAUACGUUCCCGGG